GCCUGGGUGGCUCAGUCGGUUAAGCGUCUGACUUCAGUUCAGGUCACGAUCUUGCAUCUCGUGAGUUCGAGCCCCACAUUGGGCU
rnacentral:tRNA from 1 species